rnacentral:lncRNA from 1 species
GAUCUACAGAAAUGUAUAUAAUAACACCGGCUACACCAAAAAAAAGUUUCGGUAUACAAAAAUUCUUUAAAUCUUAGACCCUCUUAUAUAACCUUAAAGGACUUCUCAAAAAAAUCAAGAAAAAGCUAGUAUAAACAAUAUUCUUAUUAUUCUUAUAUAUAUAUAUAUAUAUACACACAAAAUUUACUGCUCGUUGCUUCUUUUGUGCUACACAUAAGAACUACUUUGCUUCAAGUUGACAUAUUUUUUUUAUAUGUAAUACAUUCUUCUUAAUACAAGAAAAAAGCAAUUAGAAUAAUAUGUCAAAUUUGCGAUAAAUGUUUCACUUUAUUGAAAGAAGAAUAUGUUUGCCAUAAAAUAUUUAGCUUAGAAUAUGAGAUUAUGGGAAAAAUAAUUUAAACGCAAAAUUUGUUUUUGGCCUCGGUCGUCAGAUGAGUGUAAGCAUAUACUGCAUUACUGUAACACUCGAAUUAUAAUAUUGUAGAAUUAAAAAUUUAUAGAUCUAGUAAUUUAGAUUAAUUUUUUUAUCAAAGUAAUUUAUAACUUUAUAUUUUAAUAUUUACUUUUUAAACUAUUCAAAAAAUAUAUAGAAGUUUUUAUUUAAAAGUUUAGAUAUAUAAAUUAAAAAAAUAUAAGCUUAAGAUUUGGGAGAACCUGCAACAAUGUUUAAUAACAUUAAAUUAAAUUAAAUUUCUCCGAUAAAAGGGGUAAUCGGCAUCUGAUUUUUAAUUAAAAAUAAAUAUUAAUUAUAUUGAAAUUUAUUAUUCCAAAACUUUUGUUUAACAGUAGAGCUACCUUAAAUGUUAUAUUUUACUUUUAAUUUAUUAUUAUAUUAAAUAAAUUCAGGAUUGGGAAAGUUACUUCGUAAAAGUAACUAGUUAUAGUUACAAUUACAGUUUUUCAUUAAAAAAGUAACUAGUUACAGUUAUCGAUUUUGAAAAAUAACUCGUUACAGUUACAGUUUUUAAUAAAAUUAAGAGACGUUACUUUUCAGUUAAUUUUUUAUUAAAUAGUUGUACAUUAUUUUAAAUAUAAGAAAUAAUAAUCUUAUAUUUUAUGUUUUGCUAACUGUUGUAUAUUUUAUAUUUAAUUAUAUGCUUUAACGCAUUAUUUUAUGUACACUAAAUGAGAACUUUAUAAAGGUAAAAGACUAAAUUAUAUGUUACUGUUAUCACAAUUUAAUUAAAUAUAACGCUACGUCAGCUAUCAUACAUUGAUUCAUAUAUUCCCUUUAGUGCAAAAUUUUAAUAAAAAUUUUUAUUAAUUUUAUAGAAUUUUGAAUUCAAAUAUAUCACAUAAUUAAGAUGACCUCUUUGUGACGUCAUUAUAUAUAGAGUCACCGAUGCUAAACAUGUUUCGCAGAUGCAGAACUUAAAAUAUCUGUUAUAUUUAAUAAAAAGUUUCUUAGUUGUAUUGUAAUUAUUUAGCAUAUUAAUACUGCAAUUUGAUUUUAGGAAUCGAAACAUUUCCUCUUGUGUAGACUCGAGUUUCUCCGGUUGUUGAUUAAAAAUUUUAGUGCAUGUUUUACAAAAAGUAACUAUUAAAGUAACUAUCAAAAUAGUUAUUAGUUACCAAAGAAAUGUAAAUGUAACUGUAACUUCGUUACAAGUAACUCGGAUUUCCCAAUCCUGGAAAAAUUGUUAUAUUAAUAAUAUAAUAUUUACAUAUUUGUAUCUUUAUUUAUCAGAUGUAUCACAAACAUUUAAUGAUAUAAGUGAAACUUUUACUAAUACUUCAAUAGAAAAGAAGAAAAAUAAGAUUAAGAAAAAAGAACAAAAAGUGAAGCAAAAACUAAUUAUACAAAAUAAAAAAAGAAAACGAAAGAAUACAAUAAAAAAUAUACAAAAUGUACAAAAAUUGAAUAAAAGUAAAGGUAAAUCUUGUUUAUGCUUAUCUUCUUACUGGUUUUUUUUGUUUAAUAUUUAUUAUUCCAAAAAGUUAUGUACAUCUGUAACAUUUACAUAAACUUAAAGCAGGAAAGAAACAAAUUUCACCGAAGAAACAAAAUGUUUAUUCCAAAAAUAAAGGUUUAAUUUAUCGAAAAUAUUCAGAUAGUGAUUUAUCAGAUUAUAUAUUAAAUACAAGUUUAAGCAGCUCUAGUGAGAGUACAAUCAAUGUGCCAAAAAAA